UACGUAGGGAGCGAGCGUUGUCCGGAUUUACUGGGUGUAAAGGGUGCGUAGGCGGCUUGGCAAGUCAGAUGUGAAAACCCGGGGCUUAACCCCGGGCCUGCAUUUGAAACUGUUGGGCUUGAGUGCUGGAGAGGUAAGCGGAAUUCCUAGUGUAGCGGUGAAAUGCGUAGAUAUUAGGAGGAACACCAGUGGCGAAGGCGGCUUACUGGACAGUAACUGACGCUGAGGCACGAAAGCGUGGGGAGCAAACAGG
rnacentral:rRNA from 1 species